CUCGUAGGUGGCCAACUAAGUCAGACGUGAAAUCCCUCGGCUUAACCGGGGAACUGCGUCUGAUACUGGAUGGCUUGAGUAUGGGAGAGGGAUGCGGAAUUCCAGGUGUAGCGGUGAAAUGCGUAGAUAUCUGGAGGAACACCGGUGGCGAAGGCGGUAUCCUGGACCAUUACUGACACUGAGGAGCGAAAGCCAGGGGAGCAAACG
rnacentral:rRNA from 1 species